UCAGGGUGCUGUUGAGAGUUCUCGUGAAGG
rnacentral:piRNA from 1 species